rnacentral:rRNA from 1 species
GACGAACGCUGGCGGCGUGCCUAAUACAUGCAAGUUGAGCGCUGAAGGUUGGUACUUGUACCGACUGGAUGAGCAGCGAACGGGUGAGUAACGCGUGGGGAAUCUGCCUUUGAGCGGGGGACAACAUUUGGAAACGAAUGCUAAUACCGCAUAAAAACUUUAAACACAAGUUUUAAGUUUGAAAGAUGCAAUUGCAUCACUCAAAGAUGAUCCCGCGUUGUAUUAGCUAGUUGGUGAGGUAAAGGCUCACCAAGGCGAUGAUACGUAGCCGACCUGAGAGGUUGGUCGGCCACAUUGGGACUGAGACACGGCCCAAACUCCUUCGGGAGGCAGCAGUAGGGAAUCGUCGGCAAUGGACGAAAGUCUGACCGAGCAACGCCGCGUGAGUGAAGAAGGUUUUCGGAUCGUAAAACUCUGUUGGUAGAGAAGAACGUUGGUGAGAGUGGAAAGCUCAUCAAGUGACGGUAACUACCCAGAAAGGGACGGCUAACUACGUG